rnacentral:rRNA from 1 species
UACAGAGGUCCCAAGCGUUGUUCGGAUUCACUGGGCGUAAAGGGUGCGUAGGCGGUCGGGUAAGUCUGAUGUGAAAUCUCACAGCUUAACUGUGAAACUGCAUUGGAUACUAUCCGGCUCGAGGAAUGGAGGGAGACUGGAAUACUUGGUGUAGCAGUGAAAUGCGUAGAUAUCAAGUGGAACACCAGUGGCGAAGGCGAGUCUCUGGACAUUUCCUGACGCUGAGGCACGAAAGCCAGGGGAGCAAACGGG